rnacentral:rRNA from 1 species
GUGGGGAAUAUUGGGCAAUGGGGGAAACCCUGACCCAGCGACGCCGCGUGAGGGAAGAAGGCCUUAGGGUCGUAAACCUCUGUUGUGUGGGAAGAAGAGCGUGACGGUACCACACGAGGAAGUCCCGGCUAACUACGUGCCAGCAGCCGCGGUAAUACGUAGGGGACGAGCGUUGUCCGGAUUUACUGGGCGUAAAGGGCGCGUAGGCGGUCAUUUAAGUCAGCUGUGAAAUGGUUUGGCUUAACCGGAUCAUGCGGUUGAAACUGGAUGACUGGAGUGCUGGAGAGGCAAGUGGAAUUCCCAGUGUAGCGGUGAAAUGCGUAGAUAUUGGGAAGAACACCGGUGGCGAAGGCGACUUGCUGGCCAGCAACUGACGCUGAGGCGCGAAAGCCAGGGGAGCAAACGGGAUUAGAAACCCUAGUAGUCC